AGGCUUAACACAUGCAAGUCGAGCGGGGUGAUGGUGCUUGCACUAUCACUUAGCGGCGGACGGGUGAGUAAUGCUUAGGAAUCUGCCUAUUAGUGGGGGACAACAUUUCGAAAGGAAUGCUAAUACCGCAUACGUCCUACGGGAGAAAGCAGGGGAUCUUCGGACCUUGCGCUAAUAGAUGAGCCUAAGUCGGAUUAGCUAGUUGGUGGGGUAAAGGCCUACCAAGGCGACGAUCUGUAGCGGGUCUGAGAGGAUGAUCCGCCACACUGGGACUGAGACACGGCCCAGACUCCUACGGGAGGCAGCAGUGGGGAAUAUUGGACAAUGGGCGGAAGCCUGAUCCAGCCAUGCCGCGUGUGUGAAGAAGGCCUUAUGGUUGUAAAGCACUUUAAGCGAGGAGGAGGCUACUUUAGUUAAUACCUAGAGAUAGUGGACGUUACUCGCAGAAUAAGCACCGGCUAACUCUGUGCCAGCAGCCGCGGUAAUACAGAGGGUGCAAGCGUUAAUCGGAUUUACUGGGCGUAAAGCGCGCGUAGGCGGCUAAUUAAGUCAAAUGUGAAA
rnacentral:rRNA from 1 species